rnacentral:rRNA from 1 species
AACGAACGCUGGCGGCAGGCUUAACACAUGCAAGUCGAGCGCCCCGCAAGGGGAGCGGCAGACGGGUGAGUAACACGUGGGGAUCUGCCCAAUGGUACGGAAUAGCUCCGGGAAACUGGAAAUAAUACCGUAUGUGCCCGCAAGGGGAAAGAUUUAUCGCCAUUGGAUGAACCCGCGUCGGAUUAGCUAGUUGGUGUGGUAAAGGCGCACCAAGGCGACGAUCCGUAGCUGGUCUGAGAGGAUGAUCAGCCACACUGGGACUGAGACACGGCCCGGAAUCCUACGGGAGGAAACGGUGGGGAAUAUUGGGCAAGGGGCGCAAGCCUGAACCAGCCAUGCGGCGUGAGUGAUGAAGGCCUUAGGGUUGUAAAGCUCUUUCGCCGACGAAGAUAAUGACGGUAGUCGGAGAAGAAGCCCCGGCUAACUUCGUGCCAGCAGCCGCGGUAACAC